rnacentral:rRNA from 1 species
AGCAGCCGCGGUAAUUCCAGCUCCAAUAGCGUAUAUUAAAGUUGUUGCAGUUAAAAGCUCGUAGUUGAAUUUCGAGAUCGGCUUACUGGUCGUGCUUUUGUACGUACUGGUAUAAUCGGUUUCUCCUUUCUGACGAACUUUAAUGCCAUUAAUUUGGUGUUUUAGGGAAUCAGGACUGUUACUUUGAAAAAUUAGAGUGUUAAAGCAGGCUCACGCUUGAAUACAUUAGCAUGGAAUAACGGAAUAGGACGUUUGAUUCUAUUUUGUUGGUUUCUAGGAUCGACGUAAUGAUUAAUAGGGAUAGUUGGGGGCAUUAGUAUUCAAUUGUCAGAGGUGAAAUUCUUGGGUUUAUUGAAGACUAACUACUGCGAAAGCAUUUGCCAAGGGAUGUUUUCAUUAAUCAAGAACGAAGUUAGGGGAUCGAAGACGAUCAGAUACCGUCGUAGUCUUAACCAUAAAACUAUGCCGACUA